rnacentral:miRNA from 1 species
UUAAAGUUGAAGUUUGGAAAA